AUAAAUAAACAUUAAAAUUUUUUUAAAAGAAUUAGGUUAAAAGAUUUACUAUCAAAUGUUAUAUAAAUCAGAAAUGAACCUCAUUACUUCCUUUUUAAGUUUCUCUUCUUUAACUGUGGUAAAAUACAUGCAUUAGAAAGUUUCCCAUCAUGAACAUUUAAGUGUACAUUUUAGUAGUGCUAAGUGCAUUCACAUUCUUCUGUAGUCAUUCCACUUUUCUCAAAUCUGUCUUAAAGUCAGGAGAUAGUAGUGCACACGUCAAGGAUUCGAUGCAGGGAGUCUUGAUGUCUCAUAAGUGUAACCUGGAAGAGGUGUUGCUUGGAGGGAAGAAAACCACCCUUGGUAGAAUGAGUUUGCUCUGGGAAGGUAAAAAGUGGCUUUCUGCCUUGGGAAUCCUGUCCUUUCCCCUCUCCCUCCUCAUGGCCACACUCGUGGGAACAGGUGCGCACAUUCAACUAAACUGUUUUAUGCUUGACAGGCAGCAAAAGGGAACUGGGGACAACUGUGAUGCACUGAGGUGUGUGUGUGUGAAAGGGCCAAAGGAAGCCAAAUGGGAAACAUUGAAGAAUGUAGACGUUCGUGAUGGACUGUGUGGACAAAGACAGAAGCUCACAGAAGAGUAAGACUUUCAGGAGUUGUUACAAAUGCUGUUGUAAGAAUGAAUGUGUCAGACAGUGGGGAUAAUUAUACUUUCUUUGAGCACAUUUAACACCAACCAUACUUUUACCAUAGUAAUCAGUAAAGAAUUGUGUUUCUCCCUUCUGCCUUGAUUUCUGUGAUCUGCACCUUCCUUCACUUUGUGGAAACCUCAAGGUUCAUUUUCAUUGUUCUUUACAUUUCAGUCCCAUCAUAGAGACAUAACUGCCAUAUGUCUAUAUUUUUUUGCUAUAAUCUAGACAUUGGGUAGGAAAUAUUGGGAGGAGAAUUCAGGUGUACUGUGAUGGUAUCUUGCUGCAGAUGAGAUGGGAGUUUAUGUCUGGUAGGAGAUCAGGGGUGCCGGCAUUACUGAAUCCUGUGAACUCAGUUUUCCUUCCUUUCCCUCUUUCUUUUUCCUUUCCUUCCCUUUCUUUCCCUUCCCUUCCCUUCCCUUCCCUUCCCUUCCCUUCCCUUCCCUUCCCUUCCCUUCCCCGCAUUCCUUUUCCAGGAGACAAUAUUCUGAAGGUAGCCAAUUUACAUCAUUUUUUUUUGUCAGUGUAUUUUGCCUUCUUCUCAACUGGUGUCUUUGAGGUAGGUGGCAGGAGUUCCCUCAUGAACUGUAGAAAUGUCCAGUAGAUCAUUGUACAAUGUUAAUGACACCAUGUCCAAGAAAGAUGUCUCUGUGGCAGUGUCAUGGCCCCAGCCUUGAUUGAAAGUUCAGGGCUCUUGGGAGAAAUCAGACAAUUCAGGAACCCCUGCGUCAUCCUUAUGUGUUUAGUUGUGAUGAGUUGGCCAGGCUUAGUUUUGUACAUUGAAAAGAAAUAACGCUUAUGGAGUCCCAAUCACAAGAGCCUGAUCCUGUGAGGGCACUUAGUGCAUCUCAUGUGGGCUUUUUAUAUUUAUGUGAUGUAUAGAUGAGUAGGAAUAGAGAGCUGUGAAGAGAAGCUCAGAGUUGCCAAAGACUUGCCAACACGCUGGAGUUGAGUUUGUUUAGUCCCUUAAUGGUGGGUGCCAAUGCUUCCCGCUGGUUGUGUUUGUAGAUCUGUGCAUUUACGGGGAACGGGAGUGGGGACAUUUGAGUCCUGCUUUCAGAUUUCAGGGAGGGAAGAAAGGCAGAAUUUCACAUGGGAUACCAGGUAAUCUAUGUUUCUUUCCCCUGUAGGAAGCUGGGACUGAAAGAAUGGGAGCAGGUGGAAGGGGAGAAGCAGCUGUCAGCUGCAGAAGAGAAAUGAAAUUAGCUGCAGAAGAGCUACGGAACUACAAACUAUGUGGAAAUGUGGUUCCUGAACAUGUUUCUGGAGGUUCUGGAAUGAUUACAAACCUCAGGAAGCAGUUUGGUGGAGGACAAAUCACAUCGACAAGUAGGACCAUCCCAUUUUAGAGACCCACUUGUAACCAUGAGAAAUAUGACAAGGAUACACGGAAAAGAAGAUUUGAACUUUAUGAUGAAAGACCCUCAUUGCAGGAUUAGGGAGCUGUCGCCACAGUGAUUGCACUCCCAGGAGAAGAGUAGAAGAAACACAAGAACAGCUGCAGCAGUCAGAGCUCACCUUCGGACACCUGGUAGGCUGCACUCUGCACAGUAGUUCCUGAGUGCUUCAGCACCUAAUGCAGAUGAUCAUAACGGGCCACUGAAUCUCUCCACAUGGGUUUUUACUGAUGUGCUGACUCUUUCAGAUUGCUCUUUGUGAGAAGGCAACCCAGGACAACUGGGUAAGAAUGUUUUUCUCUCCUCCUCUUGUGCACACCCUGCCACAGCUGAACGUGGAUGUGUUUCUCUCUCCCAGCUCAGGGCUCAUGAUCUGGAGAGGGCAGUGGCAGAGCAGAGCAGGGAGGUAGCCUACUUGAAACACAGGUACAUGAUUUUGACAUAUUUCUUUUAAGGGAGCUGUGAGGUUUUUAAAAAGGCUAAACUAUUUGGUGUCCAGUGGAGGCCUGGGUGUGGUAACUCUUAGUGAAACUGAUUCAUCUCAAUCCUCAAGACUGGAAGUCAUCCAAAGACAGACGCUUCCAGAGGAAUUCAGGAGGCACAAACCAAUGGCAAGAGGACCUGACAGGGCGAUCCCUCCAUGGAGAGGUACAGAGCAUAUUGUGAAAUGCAGUAGCUUAACUUCGGCGGCAACAUCUGCACAAUUGGCUUCUUGUUCCAGUGGGUGUAAUUGUUUGGUCUCCUGCAAACAGUCCCAGGUGGUUACUAGAGGUUGUGACCUGUUACAUAGGUUGUCUCACAGUGGUGACAGGGCACUGGUUCCCUCAGUUGCCCCAGCCAGCAGGGCUCUUUGGGUCUGUCCCUUGUGAGUGGUGGAGCUCAUGCCCCUCCACUGACUGUGGGCCCCCCUGCAACCUCCUGGUUACACUUAACUGGAGAGUGGAUGCUAGAACAGAUGUGGGUCAGUCCCCCUUCCACCUUGAGACAAUGUUGAAGGCUUUUUCUUUUGUUUCACAUGAAUAACAUGAACAACAGCAUGAAUUGGAGGCUGUAUGUCCCGAAGAGCUUUCUUGAUUUGGCUUUUGGAUAAAUCCUCCAUAGAAAAUAUGCUUUCUAUAAAGAAAGCAGACAUUUCUUUCCUCUGUUUGGAGGUGCCUUUAUUCUUUAAAAAGUUUUUUUUUUUGUAUUAUGAACUAUAGUACUCCAUUAGUAAAGUAAAUCCUUGUGAAAUGUCACUCCUCUAAUGUUAUUUUAUUAGUGUAACUCUAAAACUUCAGGUCAUUCCACACAGAAUUAACCUUUCCCUACCUCAUUAGUAUUAGUAUAGUAUUAGUAUAGUAUUAGUAUAGUGUUAGUAUAGUAUUAGUCUUUUAAAGGCCAUUUCUGUUCAUGAAUACUUACAUAAUCCCUUGUCAGAUACAUAAGGUAGAUGAUAUAUACAGUAAAACACUUGAAAAAUCCUACCAAUGCCUUAUAGAAAAGGAUAGUGUGCUGUUCAUGCUGAUGUUUACUGACAUUAUGCUAACUAAGCCACUCUUAUUUUAAUUUUU